rnacentral:rRNA from 1 species
UACGAAGGGGGCUAGCGUUGCUCGGAAUCACUGGGCGUAAAGGGUGCGUAGGCGGGUCUUUAAGUCAGGGGUGAAAUCCUGGAGCUCAACUCCAGAACUGCCUUUGAUACUGGCGAUCUUGAGUCCGGGAGAGGUGAGUGGAACUCCGAGUGUAGAGGUGAAAUUCGUAGAUAUUCGCAAGAACACCAGUGGCGAAGGCGGCUCACUGGCCCGUUACUGACGCUGAGGCACGAAAGCGUGGGGAGCAAACAGG